AAAAGAUCAAUGGAAAACAACCGAGCCACUGCCUGUUCACACCGCUAUCAUCUAGAAGGACCGUUCGUCCGAGAGCGACGUUGAUCGCCGCGUGACCCCAGACUUCCAGCAUCCAUCUAUUCAGGGAGACAACACGGGGGGACAAGCCAGGGACAUUAGAAAUCAAGUCGGAGGACGAAAAUGCAACAUCUAUCCAAAUGCAAAAAUGACUGCACAAGUCUGGACAGUUUCAGGACAAGUUUCUAAAUGUCCUUGAGUGGCCCAGCCAGAGCCCCGACUUGGACCGAUCGAACAUCUCUGGAGAGACCUGAGUUAUCGGCAUAUUCAACACCGUUCAUGAAAUAUAUGACCUUCAACAGUGUUAUCCUGUGAUCAAGCCAUCAAUGUUUUGUGAUUAUUGGUGUCGUAAAAAUGUUAGCUAACAGGUUAGCAAUUAGCAUGUUAAUCGGCAUCAUUACCAUGGGCUCCCAAGUGGCGUAGCGGUCUAAGGCACUGCAUCUCAGUGCUAGAGGCAUCACUACAGACCCUGGUUCAAUUCCAGGCUGUAUCACAAUCCAGCCGUGAUCGGGAGUCCCAUAGGGUAGCGCACAAUUGGCCCAGCGUCGUCUGGGUUUGGCCGGUGUAGGCCAUCAUUGUAAAUAAGAAUUAGUUCUUAACUGACUUGACUACUUAAAGACGUAUUAGCCACCUUACUAUUUUGUUUUAAAAAAGACAGCAACCCAUCAAUUUUUCAUUGGGUUAAUCCUGUGGACUCUUAAAUGGUUCUUCACCAAAUGUCUCAAUUCGUUUUACAGAUUAAUAUUUUUUGAGAAAGUAGAAAUGUUUACGUCAAAUUCAACUUUAAUUUCAGUGAUUGACAUAAACACUUGGAGUUUGUUGCAGAAAUGCACAUGGCAAGUAAAGGAAGAAAUACACAAGAUGGGUUGAAUAAAAAACAUAUAUUUUAGACAUGCAUUUGAUUUUUUACAAAUAAAUCUCAACCUCCAUUGUCACACACCUGCAGUGGAACCAGUGUUGACAGAAGUCACAGCACACCCAUGGCACCGUGGGCCUACACUCCAGCGGCGAGUUUGCAGGCAGAUCACUCUCCCCGCAGCAAGCACAUCAGAUGGUCUUUUGCAAUGUACAAGUACUACAGCAACAAUAGUAAUUGACAACAGAGGGAUAAAAAAACAACCAGAUUAUUUAGUACCUGAGGGAGGUGCCUAUGGGUGGCAGGUAGAGUUUAUCUCUCCGUUUUAUUUGCUGCAGUUGAGAGAAAAAGUAGUGUUAGAGCAUGUUUCAUGAAAAACAUUUUCAAAAUGUAUACAUCAAUACAUCUGGAGGAAGCUGCAGAAGUUGGAGGAGGUGGACAUGCCUUGAGGGCUGGUGCUAUGUAAAGAGAAAGAACAUCUUUAAAGAUUUGUAGUUUUAUAAAACACAAAAAUACUUAAACAUAUGUUACCUGUGGAGAUGGCUGUAUUUGAAUUGCAGGGGUCAGGGACACCAGACGAGGCUGCUGUGGUGGUGUUACCAGGGGAGAUGGAGGGGGCAGUUGGUCCAGGAACUGGAGCAGGGUCUGGGACUGGAGCAGAGGCUGAAACUGGAGCAGGGGCUGGAACUGGAGCAGGGACUCGGGCUGAGGGUCCUCCUGUGGUCACUGGAGAGGAGGUGCUGGUGGAAGUCACAGUGAUACUGGUUCCAGGAGGCAGUGCUGGGACCCGGUAGGGACCGAGACGGCACUAAAUGGGACUGAAGGGUCAAAAUGGCUGAAGGGUCAAAAGGGAAGGCCGCAGUUCCAAAACAGUUCCUGAGGAUCCAGCACCUUGUGCCUGCUCUGGUCGCUACGAAACCCUCAUUAAACACCAAUAGUAUUCACUAUUCAGGAUUUUUUAUUUUAUUUGGACCUUUAUUUAACUAGGCGAGUCAGUUAAGAACAAAUUCUUAUUUUCAAUGACGACCUAGGAACAGUGGG